GCUGGGGAGGGAACCUAGCUGACUCCCAGCCCGCCCCCCAUUCUAAACACUAGCCCCAGUGACAAUCCCACCUCCCUGAAGUGUCACCCAAGCCCCCAACUGCUGCAGCAACCAAUGGGGGACACAUGCAAGGGGAGCAAGAGAGCAUGAAGACUGGCUCCCCCCCACCCCCCAAAUUUAUUAACUGUGCCCCGGAGGUUUGUACUGAAGGGCUCCCGGCCCACUUGUGGGCAGGGGCUUUGUGCUGAUUGGCUUGUUAGGGUAGGGUUGCUGGAUGGUUUGUUAUGGUAGGGGGUUGCUGGCCAGGUCAGGGGGUGCAGGUCAGUUUGUUAUGGUAGCAUUGCUGGCCAGGUCGGGGGGUGCAGGUCGGUUUGUUAUGGUAGGGUUGCUGGCCAGGUCGGGGGGUGCAGGUCGGUUUGUUAUGGUAGGGUUGCUGGAUGGUUUGUUAUGGUAGGGUUGCUGGCUAGGUCAGGGGGUGCAGGUCAAUUUAUCAUCUUAGGGUUGCUGGAUGGUUUGUUAUGGUAGGGUUGCUGGAUGGUUUGUUAUGUUAAGGUUGCCAGCCAGGUCGGGGGGUGCAGGUCAGUUUGUUAUGGUAGCGUUGCUGGCCAGGUUGGGGGGUGCAGGUUGGUUUAUGUUAGGGUUGCCAGCCAGGUCGGGGGGUGCAGGUCAGUUUGUUAUGGUAGGGUAGCAGGCCAGGUCAGGGGGUGCAGGUCAGUUUGUUAUGGUAGGGUUGCUGGAUGGUUUGUUAUGGUAGGGUUACUGGCCAGGU